rfam:Acidithiobacillus thiooxidans strain A02 contig095, whole genome shotgun sequence.
GGGGCCAUAGCUCAGCUGGGAGAGCGCUUGAAUGGCAUUCAAGAGGUCAGCGGUUCGAUCCCGCUUGGCUCCA